UACGUAGGCAGCAAGCGUUGUUCGGAAUUACUGGGCGUAAAGAGUGUGUAGGCGGUGCUCUAAGUCUGUUGUGAAAUCUCCCGGCUUAACUGGGAGGGUGCGGCGGAGACUGGAGUGCUAGAGUGUGGGAGAGGUAAGCGGAAUUCCUGGUGUAGCGGUGAAAUGCGCAGAUAUCAGGAGGAACACCGGUGGCGAAGGCGGGUCUCUGGGCCGUAACUGACGCUGAGGAGCGAAAGCAUGGGGAGCGAACAGG
rnacentral:rRNA from 1 species